UCUCGUGCCUAUAGAGGAGAGGCUACACCCAGCUCCAUUCCGAACCUGGCAGUUAAGCUCUCCAUCGCCGAUAAUACUGCAUCUUUCAGGUGUGGAAACGUAGGUUGGUGCGGGGA
rfam:Wolinella succinogenes DSM 1740, complete genome